UACGUAGGGCGCAAGCGUUGUCCGGAAUUAUUGGGCGUAAAGAGCUCGUAGGCGGCUUGUCACGUCGGGUGUGAAAGCCCGGGGCUUAACCCCGGGUCUGCAUUCGAUACGGGCUAGCUAGAGUGUGGUAGGGGAGAUCGGAAUUCCUGGUGUAGCGGUAAAAUGCGCAGAUAUCAGGAGGAACACCGGUGGCGAAGGCGGAUCUCUGGGCCAUUACUGACGCUGAGGAGCGAAAGCGUGGGUAGCAAACAGG
rnacentral:rRNA from 1 species